CUUGGAAUCCACGCACUCACACAUACACACUAACACUCACCCCACCUACACACACGCCGCACAGUUCGAGGCGGAUCCUCGCCGCACCCCAUACACACACACGCACACAUGCACACACACUAAGAGAUAGAGAGAGAGACUGAGGGGGGACGGGGACGGAAGGGGGGGAUGGGCUCAUGUAUGUUUCACCAUCACCACCCCCACUGCUACUUACUAACUAGCUGCACCAUUGCACCGAAACGCAACGCAACACAACGCAAUGCAACUCGACGCAACCCAAAAAGCCAAGCAGCACAGGCUGGGACUGGGAAGGGAAGGGAAGGGGCAUCCAUCCGCGAAGAAGCAGCAGAAGCAGAACAACUCUGUUGGCCCCGCGCGGCGACGUGGCAUCGGAGGAGGCUCAGCUAAAGCUAAGCUAAGCUCAGGGUGGUGGUGGUGGUUCCUGCUUUUGGUGGCCGACAAUGCACCCAACCUGAGUGAGCGAGGAGGAGGACCCCCCACUCCCACCCCCACCCCUUGGACUUUGCCUGCCUGCCUCCCUGUCUGUGCGUGCGUGUGUGCGUACUUGUGUGAGUGAGUGAGUGCCCGCGAUGGAAAGCGGUAACCGAACAACGUUGGCGCGGAUAAGGGACAGACACUGGAUAGCGAGGUGGUUGUUGUGAGCAUUUUCUUGCAUCUGGAGUGCGUGGGAGUCAUCUUGUGUGGAUCGGUGGGAAUUCUCGAGAGGCAAAGGAUAUCCGCCGCUGCAAGUUGAAGAAGCGUUCUGGGACAUUGCUUGUGCAUGUGGGAAUUUGGUUAGCGUUAUAUCGUGGUGGAAUCGAUCCUCCUGUUGGAAUAAUUCUGCAGACUACCUAUUGACUACCUUAACCUGGGAGGUAGAAGCCAUCAAGGUUUAUCAGUGACAUGUUACGCAAAUGUUGAUGCCCUUACAUUCGGAAGUUCUUUUCAGCGGAACAGUCAUGCGCAUGCAUUGGAGUUGCUCGUAUCAUCCAGUGAAAUCCAUGCCUCGAAUUCUCCAUACUGUUUGGUCGUCUGUCGAACAAUUGUUAGAUUCUUAAUGCGGUGCCGAUGCGGUGAAAUCAUUUUUCUUUGGCGUGCAGAAUAUUCCGUAGAGUUACAGUAUGACUUUGGAAGGAGCUUCUGGGUACUUAGCAAAGCUACCACAUACUUCGGAGAGGACAACGGGGAGAGCAGGACUGUGAGCGCUACUGUUCAAAUCUUUGAAUCGUCUGCUUAAUGGAUUAUUGGUAAGAGGAGUCCGAACUAAAACAAACUAGUGAAAAAGCCAUGACAAAGGGUGGUUCCCAACAUAAACCGCAUCGAAGGGGAGUUCGAGUGAAAAAGCCAAGACAAAAGGUGGUUCCAGAUAUAAACCGCAUAGAAGGGAUGUUCCUAGCGGUGAUGUGUGAAGAGACAGGAAGAUGCUUAGGCCACGGUUUACAGUAGCUUGUGCAUUGACUGCAAAGAAGAUCCUAAGUUUCAUACAACCGAAAUUGGAGGCCCAUGCCAGGUCCUUUUAGUACCUCUAUGUUCUGAUUAGAUUUGCAUUGGAAUAGAUUUUAAGAUUUAUAACUUGCAACAAUGAGGAGAAAUAUAUGAACUAUUAUGGCCAACAUUUCUAUUAUUUUCUUGUAGGAUUUUGAAUUAGUAUUGUUGAGGUUUGUCUUACAUGCUUAUUUGUCUGUCAAUAAUCUUAUAAAGAGCAUCACAAUUUAGAGUCA